rnacentral:piRNA from 1 species
UGAGCCUCAUUUCAAGUGACCUUAGCCAC